AAGCCGCAAUCACUCGUGCCUGGCGUCCCACCGCCCGCCUACACCUACACACAGAGCGGGAAGUCCUUUGAAAGAGCCUCUGCACCGAGAGCCGCGACCCUGAGGGGAUGUGAGGUGGAUUAGAGAGGCAGAGAUACCUUCCAAGACACACACAAGGUGACCUCUCGUUCCUGGGCUGAGUCUGUCUCCCUUUGCUUGUAGAGACCAGACCCCCAGCCAGCAGGACUGAAAAUGCAGUUUGCCCAAUCUGCCAGGGGCAUCUGCCAGGCCUCAGUCCGCGGGUGACUUCUCCCCAGCCCACACCGACAGCCCUUGCUGCCUCACCGCCUCCAGCCAGGAAGGGGUUGGGCUAGAACUACACCCACCAACACUUCCCUGGAAUACACACCCUUGCCAACUGUACCGCACCUGCAGGCUGGAUUCUGACCUCAUUCCCACCUGUUCUGUAUCAGGAGCGGCAAUCCCUAAGCUGAGCUGCUGCUAAGGACGUACCCAGCCCUGAAGAACAUGGACCCGGCUGAGAUUACAUACUGUGCUGGUCCCUAGCUGCUUACGGACUGGGCCAUCUUCAGAAGUUUCUCCUCAAACUGCCCAGGUGGCUUCUUAUUCAAGAGUGUUGACAGUUGAUGUGCCCCGGACCCUGGACCAAUAACACGCUUGGACCUUAUGGGGCCAAAAAGCAGUCAGGAGAGACUGGGAUCAAAUUUGUGUUCUGGAGUUGCAAACUCAGGUACCUGUGGGAGCCAGGAGUAAUCCAGUCUGGGAAGACAAGAAAUGAGUGGCUGAGGCAUGCUCCAACUCAAGAGGUCCCAUAGGUGGAACUAUGGGAGCAUCACAGCCAGCUAGGCCUUCACAUUAUCC